CAGCAGCCGCGGUAAUACGGAGGAUGCGAGCGUUAUCCGGAUUUAUUGGGUUUAAAGGGUGCGUAGGCGGCCUGUUAAGUCAGCGGUGAAAUCUAGGAGCUUAACUCCUAAAUUGCCAUUGAUACUGGCGGGCUUGAGUGUAGAUGAGGUAGGCGGAAUGCGUGGUGUAGCGGUGGAAUGCAUAGAUAUCACGCAGAACUCCGAUUGCGAAGGCAGCUUACUAAGGUACAACUGACGCUGAAGCACGAAAGCGUGGGUAUCAAACAGGAUUAGAUACCCUGGUAGUCCACGCAGUAAACGAUGAUAACUGGGCGUAUGCGAUAUACAGUAUGCCCCUAAGCGAAAGCGUUAAGUUAUCCACCUGGGGAGUACGCCGGCAACGGUGAAACUCAAAGGAAUUGACGGGGGCCCGCACAAGCGGAGGAACAUGUGGUUUAAUUCGAUGAUACGCGAGGAACCUUACCCGGGAUUGAAAUGUAGAUGACCGCUCCUGAAAGGGAGUUUUCCUUCGGGACAUCUAUGUAGGUGCUGCAUGGUUGUCGUCAGCUCGUGCCGUGAGGUGUCGGCUUAAGUGCUAUAACGAGCGCAACCCCUGUCUACGGUUGCCAUCAGGUAAUGCUGGGAACUCCGUAGAGACUGCCGUCGUAAGGCGUGAGGAAGGUGGGGAUGACGUCAAAUCAGCACGGCCCUUACAUCCGGGGCGACACACGUGUUACAAUGGUAAGGACAAAGGGCAGCUACCUGGCGACAGGAUGCGAAUCUCUAAACCUUAUCACAGUUCGGAUCGGAGUCUGCAACUCGACUCCGUGAAGCUGGAUUCGCUAGUAAUCGCGCAUCAGCCAUGGCGCGGUGAAUACGUUCCCGGGCCUUGUACACACCGCCCGUCAAGCCAUGGGAGUCUGGAGUACCUAAAGUCCGUAACCGCAAGGGUCGGCCUAGGGUAAUACAGGUGACUGGGGCUAAGUCGUAACAAGGUAGCCGU
rnacentral:rRNA from 1 species